ACACGAACUUCUUGAGGUAGAAGAUUGUAUUUGAUACCAAGAUCUUCAAAUAUUUUCUUUACCUCUAAGACUAAUUUGGAUCUCUGUUUAAUUUUCUUCAUAUAAUCCUGAAAGUUCAUUUUAUGAGUAACAUAAAGAGCCAUUUUCAUUUGGGAAAUUUACAAUCGUCCACCUGUUUGUUUUGCCUUUUUCAAAAAUACACAAACACUUUUUUUUUCAGCGCACCACCUGAAGUUUGUAUUUUGUUGCAUUCGUCCACUUCCGUCUAAUUUCUGUUAGUGGAUUUAACAGAAUGUUAACGAAAUGACCUUUUUACCCCUCAAAAUUACAAUUUAACCCAAAAUAAAUGGAAAUUAGAGAUAAAUUGGAUGAAUUUAAUUUUUUUCAAAAGGUGGAUGCUAGAAAUUGGAGGAAAAUAGUGUUUGUUGCUUGCUAAAUUUAGAAAAUUUGUAUUUAUUUUUUUGAAAGAGAAAAAAUAAAUACAAAUUUUCUAAAUCUAGCAAGCAACAAACACUAUUUUCCUCCAAAAAAAUAAAUAGAAAUUUUCUAAAUUUAGUAACAAACAUUAUUUUCCUCCAAUUUCUAGCAUCCACCUUUGAAAAAAAUUAAAUCCAUCCAAUUUAUCUCCAAUUUCUAUUUAUUUUGGGUUAAAUUGUAAUUUUGAGAGGUAAAAAGGUCAUUCCGUUAAAUUCGCUAACGGAAAUUAGACGGAAGUGGACGAAUGCAACAAAAAGUAAAUUUCAAGUGGCGUGCUAAAAAAAAAAUGUUUGUGUAUUUUUAAAAAAGACAAAACAAACAGAUAGACGAUUGUAAAUUUCCCUUUUCAUUUUAUUCACAUCCUCAAUAUCUUUCACCACCACAUUGUGAUCUCCACUCCAAUGCUGAUGCUUCCUCUUCAAGUAGCUGCAUUUAAAUAACAUUGACAAAAAAUAAGCGCAAAAAAAAGUGACAAAAGAUAAGCAUCAGCAGUACGAUAUAAUAAACAACCAAAAAUUAUUAUCUCAAAAGAACUGACUUACUCUUUUAUUCUAGAUUUUAGGUUUUCAAUGACUUCAACUGAUGUGAAAACAUCAAUUGCAAACUCCACAGUAUCACUCAUCUCUCGCGGGUUCCUGUAAAAGUUGCUGAUGGGUUUUGUAGUUAGAACUGAAUUUGGAUAAUAUAUCUUCUCAUUGUCAUAUCUCUGAAAGAUUGUUGUCAAAAUGUUCAUCUCAUCAACAACCAUCUGCAACUUAAAAUGUGUGCGUCAAGCAUAAUUUAUAUACAUAUUUUACUCUUAAUUAUUUAAUUAUUAGUUAUUUUUAUUUAUUAUUUUUAAUUAAUUAAAUUAUUUUGUUAGAUAGGGAAUUAAUUGAAGAUUAAGGAUAAAAAGAUCACGAGGAAGUUCAAAUUUGGAAGUCAAGAAGACUAAAAUUAGAAGUCAAUCCCUUCAAAAGAUGAACGGAUUUGGAAAGCAAAGAUUUGGCAAUUUGGAGUGCAUGUGCUGGGCAUUAAAAGAAGAAGUCAUUAAUUGGUCUUUUGCUUUUGUGGUCUAACGUGUGGUUAGCUUUCAAAGUUUAGUAAGGAAAUAAUUUAAAAAGGGCUUGGUGAGUGGGCUUUAUAAGUCGGUGGAUGACUUUGACUUAUGAUAAGUUGUGAAGAAUUAAUGCAAUUAGAAUCCAAUAAGGAUUAAGCAAGUCAGUAAUAUUAUAUAAAGGCAAGAGAGUAGCCGCCAGAAAAGGGAGUGGAGACGCAAGGCAGAAGAAGGGAGAAAAGGACGAGUGCAGCAGUUCGGCUUCAUGGCUGAUUUUAUCUUUUUUGUUGCUCCCAAUUUAAGUAUGUCUAACUAAUUUUCUUUUACUGAGGUUAAGGAUGAAACCCUAUUCAAUAAAAUAAUUAUCUUUUUAUUUAUUUAAUUCCCUAUAUAUGUUCUUUAAUGAUUAUGAUUUUUAUUUCACAUAAUUAAUUGAAUGUUAUUAAAAUCUUUUCAUCAAUUCUGUCAUGCAUUAUUGAUUGUUAGGAUUAAUAUUCGAUUAAAUCUAUGCUUAGAUUUAUAAAGUUUAUACAUUAUUAUCUUUGAUUCUAUGUCUUUCAUUAAAUUGUUUACAUGGAGUGCUUAGGAAACUUUGACUCUUUGUUAUUCAAUAUGUUUACAUGAGAUUCUUAGAUGUCAUAUUAUUAAGCAGAAAAUAACCUACAUUAACUUUAAUUACUUGGGCUUAAUUGUUAUAUUCAUGAGAUGACAUAGAUUAAUUUCGAGUUGUCACUCUAAAAUUGGGAAUUAAUUAAUAUUUAGAUAAUUAUUAGUUGAAUAGUGGUGAAUUCUGAAACCUUGGUAAUUUUUGUCUUAUUGAAAUCUCAUUUACUUUAAUUGUUUUCUUAGUUUAAUUUCUUUUAAAACUCGAUUUGCUCAACUAGGUUAGGAUUAAUAUUAAUUGAUUUAAAUUAGACAUUUCAAUUUAUAACAAUCUUUGUGGGAUCGACCUCGUUACCACUAUUUUAUUUCUAGAUUCGUGCGCUUGCGAGUAUAUUAAAAUUUUCACAACAAGUUUUUGGCGCCGUUGCCGGGGAUUGUGUCAGAAAGUCAGUUUAAUCUAGGUUAAUUUGAUUCUUCCACUAGUUUAUUUUAUUUAUUCAAUUUUUAUUUUAAAAAAACACAAAAAAAUUUAAUUUUUUAUUUAUUUUGAAUUUAUUGUUUGGUUGUUUGUUUUCUUUUAUUUUAAUUUUGUUUAUUUUUAUUAUUGUUGUUUUAUUUUUCUUUAUUUGUCUAGUUAGUUUAUGAGUGUUUGGGAACGUGAUUCAACAAAUCGUUUGAUCAAAAAUAGAGUCAAAAAUUAAUUGUAGUCGAGAUAGUUCUUUAGAAGUGAUGGAUGACCCAAAUAGACUAUUGACAAUACUUCCACCAGUGCAAGCAGAGAAAACCCUUAGAGAAUAUUUUUUACCACUUGCAGCCAACCAACCAUCUUGUAUUGUGUUGCCACAAACUACAGCAACACACUUUGAACUUAAGCUCUCAGUCAUUCAACUUUUACUAUCUUUUCAUGGGUUAGAGAGAGAGGAUCCAUAUUUGAACAUUAAGGAAUUUCUUGACAUAUGCUUUACAUUCCGUUUUCAAAAUUUUAAUGAUGAGUCAAUUAGGCUUCGUAUGUUCCCUUUCUCGUUAAAAGACAAAGCGAAAGCUUGGUUGAAUUCACUUCCUGCUGGGUCUAUUACUACGUGAGAUGAAUUGAGUAAUAAGUUCCUCACCAAAUUUUUCCCUAUGUCUAAAACAAAUGCCCUUAGGAGAGAGAUAAGUGAUUUUUAUCAAAGAGAGGGUGAGCAAUUUUAUGAGUGUUGGGAAAGAUUUAAUGAUUUACUCCUUAAGUGCCCCCACCAUGGUUUUGAGAAAUGGAGACUUAUACAGUGUUUUUAUAAUGGUUUAACUAUGUCAAAUCGUCAUAUGGUAGAGUCUAUGAAUGGUUGGAGAUUUUUAAACCUACAUGAAGGGGCUGCAUGAGAUUUCUUUAAUUCACUUUAUGAGAAUUCUCAACAGUGAGAUUUUUCAAAUCAAAGGGAAAAAUUGUCUCAAGUUUCUAGAAAGGGUUUAUACGAAGUUAAAGAUGAUUUUGAUGUGAAAUCCACUCUAGCUGCACUUUCUAGGAAAGUAGAUGCCUUAGCUCUGAACCAAUCAAUGAAUCACCAUCCUAGUGUAGCUAAUGAGGUUUGUGCUCUUUGUUCAAACAUGUCUCAUGCGGCACAAAAUUGUCCAUCAUUACCAGCCUAUCAAGAGGCUUAUUCUGAGCAGGUACAUGACUUACAAUCAUAUGAGAAAACCUCCAAUAAUCCAUACUCACCCACAUAUAAUCCUAAUUGGAGGAAUCACCCUAAUUUUUCUUGGAAACAAAAUCAACCUUUGUCAAACCAAAGAGGACAACAAUUUAGCUUGCCCAAUCAACAAUUUGUCCCUCUUAACCAAGUAUAUCCUCCUGCCCAACAACCCAUGUCUCAAUUUGUUGCACCCCAACAAAGAAAGCCUUCUUCAGAGGAUACACUUCAAAGUUUCAUUCAGUCAACCCAAUAAGCUUUUCAGUCAAACACUCAAGCUAUUCUAAAGCUUGAACAUCAAUUGGGUCAAUUAGCAACUAUUGUGGCUGAGAGAGAAAAAGGAAAAUUCCCAAGUCAACCAAUUCCUAAUCCCAAAGGAGUGCAUGAAGUUGGAUCGAGUUCAAUCCAUCAGCAUGAAGAAGCAAAAUCUAUUAUGACCUUGAGAAGAGGAAAAUUGUUUGACAACAAAGUAGAGGUUCAAACAAGGAAGACAUCUAAGCCUACUUCUUCAGAUCCAGUUCCAUCACAAGACUCAUCACCAAAUGAUCAAGAAGAGAGUGGUCCACCAACUUACAUUCCCAAGGCUCCUUUUCCUCAAAGGUUAGCAAAGGUAAAGAAAGGGACUUCAACAGGUGAGAUUAUGGAAAUCUUCAAGCAGGUAAGUAUAAACAUCCAUUUACUCGAUGCUAUUAAGCAAGUUCCUUCAUAUGCCAAGUUUUUAAAAGAUUUAUGCAUUAAAAAGAGAAAUUUGCAUGUCACCAAAAAUGCAUUUUUAACUGAACAAACUAGCAAUUUACUCCAAUGUAAAAUGCCACCAAAAUUUAAGGAUCCUGGUUCCCCUACUAUCUCAUGUGUUAUAGGGAACCAAUUGUUUGAUAAAACAUUAUUGGAUUUAGGCGCUAGUGUUAAUCUCUUGCCUUAUUUUGUUUACAUGCAGCUUGGACUAGGUGAGUUAAAAUCAAAUUCCAUUGUUUUGCAACUUGCUGAUAGGUCAAUGAAAAUACCUCGUGGUAUUAUAGAGGAUGUGUUGAUACAGAUUGACAAAUUUUAUUAUCCUGUUGAUUUUAUUGUUAUUGAUACUCAACAUAUACAGGAUCCUAAGAAACACACCCCAGUUAUUCUAGGUCGUCCUUUCUUAGCUACAGCUGAUGCUCAUAUUAGUUGUAGGAUUGGAAACAUGCAAUUGUCUUUUGGUAACAUGACCAUGGAAUUAAACAUUUUUAAUGUUCCCAAGUAGGCACAAGAAGAUGAUGAAUUCGUUGAAGUAGAUAUGAUAGAAGCAUCAAUUGAUGAUUCACUUAUUUCUAACCACUGUGACAAUCCAUUAAUACCAUGCACAACUGACUUUGAUUUCUCUGUUGAUGUUGAUAGUGGUAUUGAAGAAGUUAAUGCUUUACUUGAUUCGACUCUUAUCAUAGAUCUAAUUAAGUGGAAAGAAAAGAUUGAGCCACUUCCUCCUGAAGAGAAAAUUGAAUCAUUCAAGUUGGAGCUACUUCCUAAAAAAAUGCAACAUAUGUUACAUUCUGACAUGAAAAGGUGGUAAGAUCUAAAGUGUUUAAAUUAUUAGAUUUUUAUACUACUUCAGAUAACUCUCAAGAAAGCUUGGAACAAAAGAGAUCAAAGCAGUGCGAUAUUGAGGAGUUUCAUUACCAUCAUCCUUUUAUGGAUAAAAUGCUCCAGUGCUUAAUCAAAUUAUGCUUUCUGGUAUUUUCUGUAUAAUUGCUUUGAUUCGUACGCUUGCGAGUAUAUUAAAAUUUUCACAACAUCAAACAACUGAGCCCGAUAGUAUAAAGUAGGCACAAUCUUGUAUGAAACUCAAUUUAAUUAAUUUACCUGUACUCCGUCAAUAAAGCAUCUAUCGCCUACAUCAAAUGGGUGCGUCACAAAUACAAAUAUGAUGGCUUCAAAACAAGUCCUGGCUGUAUUACCAAACAUGAAUGCCAGAAGUAAAAGCUGGGAUGUAAUGACGGCAAUUACUUUGUAAGUCAAAAGACCCAUCACUAGCAACCACACUAUGAUGAUCACGACAACCACAAUUCCUGAAAGAAUCCUGUUCAAUUCUUCUAUGGCAGUUUUGGCAUCAUUUAAGGAACGCUUCAGAGUUUUGCGGUCAUUAUAAACUUUUAUCUGCAAUGAAAAUAACUUCAUCACAAGAUGAGUUGAUGGUGUAUGACAAGUGAAGUAGAAAUUGUAGGAGAUAUAUGACAAUGCAGUGUUUUGGGCUACGUAUAAAUGAGUUUGAAUUAGUUUUAAUUUAUUAGUGUUUUUUUUUUCAAGUUCUUUUGGUGUGCUUUCAGUUAUAACAUUAAACGAUCAAGAUUUUGUUAACAGUGUAUUCUUAUCUAAAAAUUAUUAAUAAAAAAAUUUCUAUAAGUCAAAACAAAUAUUAGGUCAUCAUGGAUCCAAAUAUCGUACAAAUAUAUAAUCGUUAUGUUGAUUACACAUUUAUAUCAAUUCAUAUACCUCAUAUGAAAAUUUAUUGUGGUUUUUUUAAUUAGCAAUACAAAUUUAUCAUUUAAUUAAGAAGAGUUCUUUAGUAAUGCAUCUAACUAAAGAACUUAUUUAGUGCUAAGUUGAGCUUCGUGCUUGGCUUUUUAAACAGUGCGAUUGAUAGUUAUUAGAUUAAAAAAAUAAUAUAAUUAACCAUAAAAUGCCAUAAAUAAAAACCAAACUAAAUUCAAAUCAAACUCAAUCUGUUCUAGAAAUAGGAACUAAAUAAGAGCUUGAUUUUAAUUUGUUCUCGUUAGUUUCGAUUUACUUUUGGUUUGGGGUUUUAUUGUUUGUUUUAUUACUAAUUUGGUUCUUUCCUCUAAGAGACAAAAGGAAUCAACCUCAACACUAAACUGUUUAGUUUGAAAUUUUUUUAACCGAACAUAGACCAAAUUUAAUUCAGUUUGGCUUGAUUAAAUUCAAUAACGAUUGGUUCAACCCGAAAUGGUUCAACUUUUAAUUUGGUUGGUUUGAUUCAAUUGUAUCUCCUUAACGUGACUGAAGAUCAUAAUAAAAUCAGCACAACACAACUCAAUUCAAUAUUGAAUCUAAAUCCAAAGAAUCUUACCACCCAUUUCUUAAAAUCUGCCUUAUUGAUUUUUCCGCUCUUGACCGCUCUAAACAAUUUCAGCAUUUUUUUCACAUGUUGCUCAUCGUCCAAGAACUCCUUAAGCUUCUGCUCCCCGAUAAACCUAGUCAUUGUUAACAAUAACAAAAUAAAAACAACGAGAUGAAUUGAUUCCGAAAAAAAUCAUAUGAAACUGGAAUUUUAUUUAGUUAAAGUAACUAGACUCACUCGCUUUGAGGCGUUUCUAGCUUCUUGAUUAUCUUAUCGGCGAGAUUUUUAGCUUCUGAUUCGCUUUUAAUCUCACUGAACUCAUCAAGCUCACUUGACAUUGACGACUUUAAGCCACUGCAACUGAUUAAUCCUUGCAAGAUACAGGCAGAAAUCUUCUCUAUCGUCGUUAUUCUUUUAGCCUUUUUUUCCUUGUUAAUCCUAGAAAUAAACUGCAUCGCUAUAUUUGCGUUCCUUAAUUUUUUAACCUUAUUUUUUUGUGGAGCUGAAAGAACCUGAACAACGUGCUGAUGAAAGAUCGAUUGAUGAAUCUGAUGGAAGAAUCGCUUGCUUUGGAAAGAAACACUUUUUAACUUAACUGAGAGAGUCUUCACGAACCAAACAGCAGCCCCAGCAACAAAAGAAGCAAGAGUCCUUGUAAUGUGAUGGAAAAUUUUACUAGUUUCUUUUGAUCGCUUAACCCCAUACCCAUAGUCAAACAGAAAGAUCCAGACUAAAAGGACACAAGUCAACCAAAUAAAAACGCUCACACUUGUCCUCAACCCAUAAACAAAAUACAGAACCAAAUGCUUAAGCAUGAAUUUUUUUUCAAUGAGCAAAACAGUAAUAGUGAUGAAGCAUCGACUAACCAGAGGACCAGAGAGAGUCACCAAUGCUAACAGACACCAUUUCCACAGCUCUAGAUCCCAUAUGACAUGGUUUUGCAACUUUUUCAAGGCUAAGCUGGCAAUUAACAAGCACAAUAUGGACACAAAUAUAAUGAACUCAAGCAUGAGUGAAAUGUCCUUUACUUUACCUAUUAUUAUAUUUUCAUCAUCUUCCUCUCCCUCCUCUUCCUCUUUCUCUUCCUCCUCGUCUUCAUCCUCUCUUGAAGCAGCUGACUUCAAGUUCUUUGCUUGCUCUCUUAAAUGAGAUUCUUCGGUAUCUGUAUUAAUCUGUAUCACGGUAUUGUCGUUUCCUUUGUCCUUUUUACCUUCCAUUUGCGCUAAUGAGGAAGAAGAGCUAGAGUUGCCUAAAAGGGAGUUGUGUGUACUAGCAGAAAGCGAAACCGCCAUAUAUAGAGCAGCAAUACGAAUUUGGGAGAUUUACGAAAAUAACCUAAAAACUUUUGUAAUUUUUACAAUUAACCCUCCAAACUUUUUCCUAUCAACAUAAGCCAAACACAAGGUUUUCUCCCCAAAUUACUCUUGUUUACAAACCAAAAGCAAAUUUCCUUCUCCCCCUUUAUCAAACCGAACGCAGCCUUGCACUCUUGAAUCAUUAUCGGCGACGGCAAACAUCAUCGGAAACGGGAAACGGCAAACGGCAAGGGCAAACGCCAACGACAAACGGUAAAAGUGAACUUCAAUCAAAUACAGCAUAAUACAUCCAGAUCCAACACCAAUUCGUAUCAUCGAACGGUAAGAGGUAUUUUCUGAACUUGCAAGUGCGGUAGCCUGUCGCACCAAGAUGCAGAUUUACCCGAAUCUGCCUCUUCGUGCAACAAUCGUCCGUGUCACACCAAAAUCGUGCGACAGGCUGCCUGUCGCACCAAGGGGCAGAUUCAUUGUAACUCACUCUUGUUGCGACAGUGCGACAAGCAACUUGUCGCACCAACAUACAAUUAUUUUUUUAUGUAAUAUAUAAAAAUUUAUUCUCUUUAUUAGUUUCAUAGUGCGUAAUUAAUUUUUUUUAAUAUUUCAGGUUUAAUGGAUUCAGUUGUGCUUCAAUUGUGUUAUGAUGAUUGGUGGGAGAUGUCAAGGGAUGGCGGUAUGGAGUAUGUGAAUGGUAAAAAUACAUUUUUUUUAGUUGGAAAAAAUUGUCUGUUCGAGUACUUUUUGGCAAGAGUAUAUGGGGUCUUACAAAUAAAUACUAAUGAAUAUAAUAUCAUAAUAAAGACAAUUUUGAGGUCUAGUAACACAUUCUAUUGUAUGUGUGCACUGCCCAUGGACAUAUUUAAUGAUGAAAUUGUGAGGGUUGUUUUGCAUAUGGCAUCUGAUGUGGCCAACUAUGGAUGCAUUCAUAUAUUUGUUACCACAUCUCCUCGAGUUCCGAGCGAAGAUCUUGAGCCACCCGUUGAAACAGAAACUUCCUUAGAGCAAAUAUGUCUGGCCCUGAUAUUGAAGAGGAGGUGCUGCCAAGGACAAUAUCGUUGCAACAAUAUUACUCUCCACUCGAUGACAAUAAUGACAACAUUGAUGACAACGACAUUAUAUUAGUGGAUAUUGAAGAAGAGGUAUUACCACUAACGACAUCGUGGGAGCAACAGUAUUCUCUGUAUCAUAACAAUGAUUUCCACGACAAUGAUGAUUCUGUUGAUGACUUUAGCAACGCGGAGGCAAAUAAUGUUUGUCCAAAACCUUCUAAUGCAAGUGAUGAUGGAGGUGUUAGUCCUUCCAAUAUUCCAUCGUUUCAGCACGAGGAUGAGUGUGAAGAUGAUAAUCUUGUGAAUAACAGAGACAAUCGAUCUAUUCUUCCAAUGGCCGGUUCAAGAAGGAGGAUUGAACCCCUCACAAGUCUUGCUCUAAUUUUUCCUUCGAACAUGGCUGCUUCAAGUUUUCUUAGCAGUUCUGACUCAGAUGAUAUCAGCGUAGGUAAGUUAUUCGCUGAGAAGAAUGAGUUAAUAUUACAACUGCGCAAGGUUGCCUUUAGGGAUAAGUUUGAUUUCAAGAUUGUACGGUCUACAACGACACAUUUCGAGGCUCACUGUUGUUCGGAAUCAUGUAAAUGGUGUAUUCGAGCAAUUAGAAGUUCAAACGAGCAUAUUGGUCUUCAGGUGGUGAGGAGAAUUGACAAUGUAUACACUUGUCAUAAUGAGGUAUUGGUUGAUGGUCGUCAUCAAGUAACGAGCCGACUUGUCGGUCAUAUUAUCGCAAAUAAAUAUAUUCAAGAAAAAAGAAUAUACACUCCGAAUGACAUCAGAGCAUAUAUGCUGCAGGAGUACGGUGUGCGGUUAACAUACCAACAUGCAUAUCGAGCUAGAGAAGUUGGUCUUGAAAUAGUUCGAGAGAACCCUGCAGAGUCAUACAACCUGCUCCCUAAAUACUCUCACGUAUUGACUAAAGCGAAUGAGGUACAGUCACACACCUCGAGCGAGAUAGAAAUGGUAAUUUCUUGUACUACUUUGUAGCACUUAGAUCUUCCAUCAAGGGUUUUAUGCAGUACAUUCUGCCUAUCAUUGUUGUGGAUGGUACUUAUCUAAAGGGGUUAUAUCAUAGAAGCAUUUUCGUGGCAACAUGUCUGGAUGGUAAUAAUUAACUGUAUCUGUUAGCCAUUGGGGUCAUGGAUUCAGAAAACAAUGAUGCUUGGAAAUGGUUUAUGAUGAACUUACAUAGAGUGAUUGGCGAUAGGCCGGAGUUGGUAAUUAUCUCUAAUCGAUGCACUGUCAUAAGGAGAGUCAUUCUGAAAAUAUUUCACAAUGCAGCUCAUGACGUUUGUAUUUACCAUGUGAAAGGUAACAUUAAGUCAAAGUUCAGGAUGUCCAAAACUCUUUAGGAUGAGUUUGAUCCUACCUUUAUUAAUGCAGCAAAAGCAUAUGGAUACGAAGAAUUUAAAAGGCAACUUAAAGGGUUGUGGAUGCUCCACUCGGGCGCGGCUGAUUACUUAGAGAAUAAUGUAAGUACGUGUAAUUGGCUGAGGUCUCAAUUUGAAGGUAGGAUGUACAAUAUAUUUACCACCAACAUCGCGGAGAGUGUUAAUUCUUUCAUGAGGGAACCACGAAAAUUUCUUGUUACUCAUCUUGUUGAUCACUUUAGAAAAACAAGGCAACAAUGGUUUUAUGAUAGAAAAAUUAUGGCUGAAUCAAUGAGUACUCGGCUAACAAUAUGGGCGGAUGAAAUAGUCAUUGAGAGGAGAACUAUGGCUGAAAGAAUGAUCGCUCGCCUAGUGUCUCCGUAUUGAUUUCAAGUUGUAGGUGGUGGGAUCAACGAAGGUUUAGUUGACAUACAAAAUAGAACUUGCUCCUGUAGAGUAUUUGAGCUUGAUCAGCUUAUCUGUGCUCAUGUAUUUGCGGCUUGUCUGACUGUCCGAGUGGAUUACAUAAACCUUUAUUCGGACUACUACACCAAGGAAUCGUUAGCGAUGGCUUAUGCACAACCAGUGGAGCCGGUUGGCGACGUGGCUGAUUGGGAAGUUUCAGAUGAAAUUCAAAAGAUGCAUGUUUAUCUACCUGUUGAGGCACCACCACCUAGUCAUCGUAAAGAGCUUAGAAUACCCUCGACUGGCGAGGAUGUCAACCAGAGGACUGUUAGAUGCGAGCGGUGUAAUGAAUCAGGACAUAAUCGUAAGCGAUGUAAGAAUUUCAUUGCAUCGAGUCGAAGUUAGUCGUAUUGUUUCAAGUGAUUAUGUUAAAAUAUUUGUUACUUUUUUGUGUAUUGUACACUUAUAUUUCAUGAAAUUUUAUUCCUAAGUUUUUAUUUUAUAUUAAAAUGUGAGCAUGAAAAUUAUAUAAACUUAAGUACGCAAAUUAGAAACAAAAAUCUAUGUUUCAAUAUUCGAAUUACUACAACGGUUUACAAUACAAUAUCAUCAUUAAAUAUGUCAACUGCAAUCUUCUUUCUAAAGUACUCCCCAUGACUACCGUUAAAAUUUAAUUUAAGCCCGAACAUUAAAUACAUCGUAAACAUCAACAAAAAACACCGCAAUCACCAGUAUCGGGCUCUUGUUGUGGCACACCCUUAACUACAACAACUUUCCAUGGGUUGGCACUCUACAACUCAGAUCAAAUGUUGUAAAAUCCAACAUAUUCCAACCAUCAAGGGAAGAUAACUUCAAACGGCCUGAACUUUAACUUGUAUUUUUUAUCGUCUCGAAACAUCAACAGUGAGUCAUAAAUCUAGACUUUGUUCUUACGAAAGUCAACUCGGACUAGUACCUAAUGCUCGCGGUACAGGUUAAUAGGGAUGAAUACCUGUAUAUAAAAAAUUGUCGUAAAUGUAUCAUGUAUCAUAUGAAAUUGAAAAACAUACAACAAAAAGACAUAUUUGAUUGUGUCUGUAAAAUUAAAUAAAAUACACACUAUAUCGACAUCCGUCAUUGGUUUGGACAUGAUGUGCUGCCGCCUACCAAUAUAGUUAUUCAAGUUGUCGCUAUUGUGAAAUGACUAUAAUGCCCCUAAAAUACAUAAAAUACUUAAUUAAAAUAAAACACACGGAAUUAAAUCAAAAGAAGGUUAAAUUCAUAAAAGUAAAAGUGUUAGUAAAACUUGUAGUGUAAAAUGAUGAUUUUCUCCUUUAUAAAUAUACAUUUUCUAACACUCAACACACCCCCCAACCAGCUUAUUGCUAGUCCCUAGCAAAUAAAGCGAAAAUGAAAUUCAAAUCCAAAAUGAUAUUUUUUUUUUUAAUAGAAACACUCGUGUUUAUUCAAUUAGAUUGAUGAUAGCAAUCAAAUAAAAGUAUAAGCAUUAUCUCCAGUCUAAAGCAACAUCACACCCACAUCAACCAUCCACAUGAAUUAGCCCAGUAGACUUUGUUAUAGUUACUUUCAAGAAUGACAUGUCAAACCCCAAAAUCUCACUGGAAGUAGUGACACUCUCACAAAGAAAUUAAACCCAAAAAAUAGUCACUCCAAUGAAUGGUAAUUGAGAGAAAAUAAUGAAAAAGUGAUAUCACAUGCUCUCACCAAGAUGAAAUAAAUAUGCCCUCAGCUUAGAAAUAAUACAAUCUUAAGUCAAAUAAAAAAAAUGUUAGUCAACCCAAUUUAUUUAUUUAUUUUUUUUAUAUGCACCACUACAUCUUUUUAGCCCAUAUAACUAGCUUAUACUUCAAACUAUAGUUCCCUAAAAUCAAGAAGGACUUUUAUUAGGACGUAGCGUAGGCUAGGGAUAUGGCUAACAAAGAAAGGAAAUAAGGAAAACAAAGUGUAUGUUUGAGAAAAAUGCAGAAAUAUUUUUUUUUUUUUUUUUUUGAAGUUGCAAGGUGGAUUUCACCUAUUAUUGUUAUUUUAUUCUUUUGAAACAAUAAUUUUUGUUUUUUUUUUUUUGCUUUUAUUUGGCAUAACUUCACUUAACAACAUAAUUAUUUACAUUUUCUCAAACAUAAAUAGGUGAUGGAACUUAUAAGACAUCGGGUAAUACUCCAAAUCAGAGUGGGUCAAGAUGAUAAGUUGACAAAGAAAAGGUUUUUUUUUUUUUUUUUUAAAGGCUCAAAAGGGGUAACUAUGGAUAUUUAAUAAAAGGGAUGGCUAGAAAGGCUCAAACGGAUCAAAGAUGGCAUUUUCAUCGUUUUUUAGGGCUCUAAAUAAUUAUCCAUAUCUACUAGUUAGAUGGGCCUCCCAAUGUAACAACACACAUUUUUUUUUUCUUUUUUUAUUUAAUUUUUAUUUAAUUUUUUUUUUAAAGGGUUAACUUAAAAGAAAUCUAGAGAUCGUGUAUAAAAUAAUAAACUGCUAAGCUGUAUAGAGAAUGGGCAAAAGGGUUACUCUCCAAGAAAAUGAUAGGCUCAACAACUCACUUGGCACUUAUUUAUGACACGUUCAUUCCUUCAAGCAACUCAUAUUUGUCUCCGACAUCAACAUGUAAAGUAGCAAACAUAGCGUAACAUCACUUAAGACCAAAGAUAAUACAAAUACUAAAAUUUGAAAUUAAUCAUGUCAUCCAAUGUUAAAACAAAUAACACAAUUUUUUUUUUAAACAACAUUCUACCCCCCAACCUAUUCUAAACAUGAAAGGAAAAUAUGCAUGCAGAAAUGUGAAAAUGAUGUAGAAAAAAUUAAUUAGAAAAAGAAAUUUUUUUUUUUUUUAACUAAGAAGAUGCGUUUCUAGAGGCACUAUACUCCAUAUUCAGCCAUCUUCGACUCAAAAAUUUGAAAAUAUAUAUUUAUAAAGGAGAAAGAGGAAGAAAACGAUUUUUUUUUUUUGUUUUUUUAAACGAUGAAGAUGCGUUUCUAGAGUAACUACACUCCAUAUUCAGCCAUCUUCAACACAAAAUGUUAGCAACAGUUAGUUUCUACAACAAAAAAUCAGUAAAAACUUAACCAAGAUUCCACAAUUGUCGACUAUUCUCUCCCCCCAACCAGAACGAAACAUUGUCCUCAAUGUUUUAAAGGAAAGAAGUAGAGUUUAGAAGACAUCACCUGGGUGGUGCAACACAGAAGAAAAUAUUUACAGGCGGAGAGUUAAAUCUAAUUUGUACUUCUUACUGCGACUACUGUUAGCAUCAUUAUUUGGUCGCUCCAACACAAAGGUCCAGGGGUCUGGCUCCGGUUUAUAAGCUUGUAACAUAUCAAGUAGCUCAUUAGCAGUGUGAGCACAAAUAAAGAGUUUUUUCACAUUAGAAGGAAUGAAAUAGUUUUUUAUUGCAUGGUUAAGAAAUGCGAUAAAGCCAUCAUAAAAGUUAUUGACAUUUAACAAACCGAUGGGUUUCUGGUGAAUGUGUAGAUGGGCCCAAGAUGCUAGUGUCAUAAGUGCCUCUAGUGUUGCAAGAUCUCCUGGAAGGAAAAUAAAAGCAUCAGCAUGAUUAAGCAUUUCAAUUAUUCUUUCUUGCAUACCUGAGACGACUAACUCUUCUCCAGUUGAUGAGUCAGACGAACUGCCCAAUGGUUUUAGGACUCUUGGGAUGAUGCCUAACACUUGACUUCCUCUGAUAAAAGCUGCUUCUGAGACCAUUUUUGAUAACCCUCGGUUACCUCCUCCAUACACCAAGUGUAAUUUUCUCGCUGCUAUGCUUCGACCAAGAUCUAUGGCUGCCUCCACGAACUCUUUAUGUUUGCCAUAGGUAAAUCCAGAAAGCACACAAAUGUUCUUGAAUUGUCUAUUGGGAGUAGCUGUCAUUGUGAUACUUCUCAAAAACAAUUUGUGAGUGCUUGACAAAAGAUAAAUCACAUUUAAGAAUCUUGGUGAUAGUGGGUCAUAGCUGUGAAUGAGGUAACAUGUCAGUGUGAAAUAACGCGUGAAGCACAUGGCUUGCGAGUCAAAAAGGAAACAGUAAAAAGGAAAAAGCAAACAGUAAUAAAAUUAUUAAAGACAAUAAUGCAAACAAUAAAACAACAGUGAAAUGAAAUAAAAUAACAGUAAAGUAAAAGGAUAUUUACACGUAGUUGCGACUGUGGCUCACAUCUUCCUCUGGUUUUACGUCCAGAAACGGCUUGAACACCCUCUAUGGGUCGAGGAUAGGCUUCCUAUCCAGUUUUCUUAUAAACUGGCAAACAGGGUCGUUUAUAGUCAGAUUCCCAAGACUAUAUCGUGCAUACUCUUUCUGGAAUAAUGGUCAUAACUGGAGAAUCGCUCCUUGCACAUAUCCACUAGGAUGCGUUUCAAGAGACAAAAGGAUAUCAUCCAAUGACUCCUUAUUCAAGCCAUCCCUAAUGAAUUGAAUCUUAUCUUCCCUGUUAUCAGACACCAUUCCUAAAGAACAUGGGUUUCUAUCGCAACUCAUUCUGGCACACUUAUGACAAGCAACAGAAAUUCUUCGAGCUCGUCGUUUUCUUGCGUAAUUUCCUUUACCACAACCAGGCAUGUAUGUAAUAAAUUUAGGAGGUAACUCACCUGCCAAUCGUACUUUAGCCUCGAUUAACCAACGGAUGUCUGCAGGUAUGUUAUUCCUCAUGAGCAAUCGCAUGCGUUCAGACCGGGCUUUAUAGAUUGUAAGGAGGGCAUUCUGAGGAAGUGAAGGGAAUCGCUUGUGAAGCUUUGCUAAAAUCUCGUUUCUAUCCAUACCUUCGCCUCAGAAUAUCAGUUAUUAUGGGAAACUGAAGUUAACCGACUUGAUUGUCACGGAGUACCGUUAUCCGCCACUUCACCGGGGUAACAAACUAAAGCACACAAACAGAAAAACAAAUCAAAACACACAAAGAAAAUUAAAACGUCCUCUUAUUGAAUUUACCUCAAGCUCCAACUGGAUGUCGUAAACACUUCUCUCAAUAUCUCGGAGUUGGCGUUCUAAACCCUCAACAUAGGCUACUAACUCUGGUGGUUGUAGAGCCCAAAUGCGUUGUGUUUUACAAAAUUGAAUCUGCUUUUUGAGAUGAGUUUUGACACAUUGAAGUGGUUUAAGAAUGUUCAGGAGGAACGGUCUAAGUAUGGUACUCAUGAUUAACAAUGAUAAGAAAAAAGAAAACUUAAUGGUAAAACAAACACACUUAUGCAAAAAUAAUUUCAAUUAGCAAAAGAAUAAUAAAAAGAAAGAAAGAAAAAUCAAAUCAACGAAAAGAAAAAACAAAUCAAUUCAAAUCUGGUGGGUCACUCAAAUUUAUUUCGGUGUCUUCUCCAUGUGGUUGGUAUUCUAGAUAUGGCUUUAAUCUUUGACCAUUAACUUUAAACGUGACACCGUUCUUUGGGUCUUUAAUUUCAAUUGCCCCAUGUGGAAAAACAGUAUGAACAAUAAAGGGACCAGACCAUCGAGAGCGUAACUUACCUGGGAAUAGGUGCAAACGAGAAUUGAAUAAAAGCACUUUCUGACCUGGAGUGAACGAUUUUCUCAUAAUGUGCUUGUCAUGAAAGACUGUCAUUCGUUGCUUAUAAAUCUUGGCAUUUUCGUAUGCAUCAUUGCGAAUUUCUUCAAGUUCUGCCAGUUGUAAUCUUCUUUCUGAGCUGGCUUGCUGCAUGUCAAAGUUGAAUUUCUUGAUGGCCCAAUAUGCACGAUGCUCGAGUUCCACAGGUAGGUGGCAAGCUUUUCCAUACACUAGCCUGUAGGGUGACAUCCCAAUCGGGGUCUUGAAAGUCGUUCUAUAUGCCCAUAAUGCAUUAUCAAGUCUUAAUGACCAAUCUUUUCUGUCUGGCCUCACCGUCUUUUCUAAUAUGUGCUUUAUUUCUCGAUUGGAGAUCUCAACUUGGCCACUGGUUUGCGGAUGAUACGGGGUUGCCACUUUGUGUGUGAUUGAAUACUUUGUCAAAAGAGCUUUGAAUGCUUUGUUACAAAAGUGGGCACCACCAUCACUGAUUAUUGCUCGAGGGAAUCCAAAGCGCGAAACAAUGUUGCUUUUCAAAAAUCCUAUCACCACCUUGUGAUCAUUGGUUCUACAUGGAAUUGUUUCUACCCAUUUUGAGACGUAGUCAACACCAACCAAUAUGUAUUUAUGGCCAAAAGAAGGGGGAAAGGGUCCCAUGAAGUCGAUACCCCAUACGUCAAAAAUCUCAACCACUAAAAUUGGAUUUAGUGGCAUCAUGUUCCUUCGUGUAAUGCUCCCCAUUCGUUGACACCUAUCACAUGAAGAACAGAAAGUGUAAGCAUCUCGAAAUAUAGUUGGCUAAUAGAAACCACAUUGUAAAACUUUAGUCGCUGUUUUCUUAACACUGAAAUGGCCUCCACAAGCUUGUUCAUGGCAGAAUGAAAGGAUAUUCUGAAUUUCACUUUCAGGGACACAUCGUCUAACAAUUUGGUCUGCACAAUACUUGAACAAAUAUGGGUCAUCCCAAAAGAAAUUCUUUAUUUCCGCAAAGAAUUUAGCCUUGUCUUGCUUGGUCCAAUGCUCUGGAAAUUUACCUGUAACAAGAUAAUUAACUAUAUCAGCAUACCAAGGUAAUACUUCCACACUCAUUAAUUGUUCAUCUGGAAAUGACUCAUUUAAUAUUAAUGGCUCUGUAAUUGUGUCAAAAUGGGGACGAGAGAGAUGGUCCGCCACAACAUUUUCUGUUCCUUUCUUAUCUUUGAAUUCCAAGUCAAAUUCCUGCAAAAGUAACACCCAACGAAUUAGUCUAGCUUUUGCAUCUUUCUUUGUGAGAAGAUAUUUAAGCGCAGCAUGAUCUGUGAAUAUAAUUAUUUUACAACCAAUGAGAUAAUAUCGAAAUUUUUCCAAUGCAAACACUACUGCUAGCAUUUCUUUUUCAGUAGUUAAAUAGUUCAACUGUGCAUCAUUCAAUGUCAUACUAGCAUAGUAAAUAACAUGAGGAAUUCGAUCAACUCUUUGUCCUAAUACUGCUCCUACUGCAUAAUCAUAUGCAUCACACAUGAGCUCAAAUGGUAAGCUCCAGUUUGGGGCCUGAAUGAUGGGUGAUGAUGUCAACAACUGCUUUAAUUUUUCAAAUGCCACAAGACAUGAAUCAUUAAAGAUAAAAGGUACAUCCUUAGCAAGUAGAUUGCAUAAGGGUCUAGAAACUUUGCUAAAAUCUUUAAUGAAACGUCUAUAGAAACCAGCAUGCCCAAGGAAAGAUCUUACUUCUCUGACUGUUUUGGGUGGAGGAAGAUUAGAAAUGAGAUCCACCUUGGCUUUGUCAACCUCAAUACCUUUGCUUGAAAUGAUGUGACCGAGAACAAUACCUUGUUUUACCAUAAAAUGGCACUUCUCACAAUUCAAGACUAAGUUCUUCUCGGUACAUCUCUGCAGAACUAGAGUUAGAUGAUGUAAACAUUGAUCAAACGAAUCACCAAAGACAGACAAGUCAUCCAUAAAGACUUCAAGGAAUCGUUCAACCAUAUCAGAAAAAAUGCUUAACAUGCAUCGUUGAAAUGUAGCAGGUGCAUUACAUAAUCCAAAUGGCAUUCUCUUAUAUGCAAAUGUGCCAAAAGGGCAAGUGAAAGUAGUUUUCUCUUGAUCUUUUGGUGCUAUGGGAAUCUGAUUAUAUCCUGAAUAGCCAUCUAGAAAGCAAUAAAAUUCAUGGCCUGCUAAUCUAUCAAGCAUUUGAUCAAUAAAUGGUAAAGGAAAAUGGUUUUUACGUGUGACAUAAUUCAACUUUCUAUAAUCAAUGUAUACAUGCCAUCCUGUAGUUACUCUAGUUGGUAUCAAUUCAUUAUCAGCAUUGGUAACUACUGUGACUCCUGACUUUUUGGGGACAACUUGUACAGGACUGACCCAUGAACUAUCAGAAAUUGGGUAAAUGAUACCUGCGUCUAAUAGCUUAAGGACUUCUGUUCUAACAACUUCUUUCAUAUUAGGAUUUAACCGACGUUGCAUUUCCCUAGUAGAUUUAGCAUUUUCAUCAAGGUGAAUGUAAUGCAUGCAAUCUGUAGGGUUUAUACCUUUUAUGUCUGCUAUGGUCCAUCCUAAUGCUCCUCUGUGCUCUUUUAAAACAUCCAACAACUUACCUUUUUGUUCGUCAUUUAGGGAUGAUGAGAUGAUUACGGGUAGAGUACUUUCUUCUCCCAAAAACGCAUAUUCCAAUGUGUUGGGCAAUGGUUUGAGCUCGAGUUUCGGUGGUGAUUCUGAUGAUGGGAUGAGUUUCUUCUCUAAUGGUGCUAGUUGUUCAACUCUUGACUUCUAUUUAUUAGUGUCCAUGUAUGGUGCUGAGUCAAGCAGGGCGUUGACCUCAUCGACCGAUCUGUCAAUAUCAAAAUCCAAACCAAAGUGAGUUAAACAUGUUUGUAAAGGAUCAUCACUAAGGUUUGAAAGAAAAGUAUUAUCAACUAUUGUUUCUAUUAAAUCCACAUCAACAAUUCCAUCAUCUGUAUUGUGAGGUUGUUUGGCAAUGUUGAAGAUGUUCAGCUCCAUAGUCAUGUUGCCAAAGGACAACUGCAUAUUUCCAGUCCUGCAUUGAAUGUGAGCAUCCGCAGUUGCCAAAAAAGGUCGGCCUAAAAUAAUAGGGAUGUGCUUCCUUGAAUCCUGUAUUGAUUGAGUGUCAAUUACAAUGAAAUCAACAGGAAAAUAAAACUUGUCUACCUGGAUAAGCACGUCCUCUACAAUACCACGAGGUAUUUUCGUAGACCGAUCUGCAAGCUGUAACACCACUGGAGUUGGGUGUAAUUCUCCAAGUCCAAGUUUCAAAAAUACAGAGUAAGGCAACAGAUUUACACUAGCUCCUAAAUCCAACAAAGCAUUCUCAAUUGUGUGGUUCCCUAUACUACAUGAGAUAGUGGGGGAGCCUGGGUCUUUGCAUUUUAAAGGAAUUUUAUGUUGGAGUAUAGAACUAACGUUUUCUGUUAAAAAUGCCUUCUUUUGAACAUGCAUGUUUCUCUUUUUAGUACAAAGGUCUUUAAGAAACUUGGCAUAAGAUGGAACUUGUUUAAUAGCAUCAAGUAAAGGGAUGUUAACACUUACCUGUUUGAAGAUUUCGAGAAUCUCACCUGUGGAUUUUCCCUUCUUUCCUUUCGCUAACCUCUGAGGAAAUGGAGCUUUAGGAACAUAUUCUCGUGGGUUGGUUUCUUCUUUUUCCUCCGGUGGUGAGUCCUCAACAUUCACAGGUACAAUUUAAUUUUCUUUUGUCACCAGCAUCUCUACUUUGUUGUCGACUUCCUUUCCUUUUCGCAAGGUCAUGACUGCUUUGACCUCUCCAUGCUGUUGUGGUGAACUGGUACUUGCUUCAUGUACUCCUUUAGGAUUAGGCACUGGUUGACUUGGAAAUUUACCUUUCUCAACAGUAAUUGUCAAGGUCUGAACUGAAGAAGCAAGUUGUCCCACCAUCUUCUCGAGGCUUGAAACUGAUUGGGCUUGUGAGUUGAAGCCCGCUCUCAACUCAUUUCGUAGUCCAUCAAUGGUGCGAUUCUGUUGCUCAAUCGUGGAGUGAGUAAGAUUCUUGAGAUUCUAGAAUGAAUCCUCCCAUGGUCUGGGUUGAGAGUAGUUCUGGUUCUGAUUGAAUGGUCUAAAUGGGGGCUGAGAGGCUUGAGGAACUUGAGGAAUUGGUGGAGCUGGAGCUGCUGGUCCAUUCUGUUGGAAUCCUUGAGACCAUGAAAAAUUGGGGUGGUCUCUCCAUCCAGGGUUAUAUGUGUUGGAGUAUGGGUUGUAAUUCGAUGGUUUUCUCAUUACACCUAUGGCAUUGGCUUGAUCUGAGUAUGAGUCAUGGUCAUGUGGCUCUGUUGAUUUAGCAGUCGAUAACGAUGCUAUUUGUCGAGAGAGACCUUCUAUUAUUGCUUUGACUUCUUUGAUUUCUGAAUUUGACUCGCCAAUUUGAACCUCAUUCACUCCUUUAAUUCUUCUAGUAUUCCUGAGUGAUCGACUCCGUUGUUGGGAAUUAUCCGCUUGUUGCUGGAAGAAUUCCCAAAUCUCUUAUGCACUUUUUGACAUUAGCUCUCCUGCACUUGUUGCCAUUAGCCAUUCUUGCACAUUCGGCAAUAAUCCCUCCAAAAAGUAUUGGCAUUGGUGCCAUUUCUCGUACCCAUGAUGUGGACACUUCAAGAGUAGCCCAUUAAAUCGCUCCCAUGUUUCGAAAAACUGCUCGUUCUCUCUCUGUGUAAACUCUGAAAUUUCCCUGCGAAUAGCAUUGGUUUUAUGCACUGGGAAAUAUUUAUUCAAAAAUUUUGUAACCAUUUGUUCCCAUGAUGCAAUGCUAUUAGCAGGCAAUGUAUUAAGCCAUGAACGAGCUCUAUCCUUUAAAGAAAAUGGGAAUAAUCUGAGUUUAACAUCAUCGUCUGAAAAAUUCUCAUAUUUGAAUGUUUGACAAAUGGCAUGAAAAUCAUUCAAAUGAUUAUAUGGAUCCUCAUUUUCUAGGCCAUAAAAUGUGGGAAGACAAUUUAACACACUAGGUUUUAAUUCAAAACUCCUAGCAGCUACAUUUGGGUAUCUUAUACAUGAUGUGCUCAAAUUAGCUAAGGGACUAAAAUAAUCCUUAAAUGGCCUCUCCUGUGGUGCUUGUAAAUCCAUUCCAAAUUUAUUUUUAAUGUGCUUUUGUGUGCGGAGUGUUUUUUCUAAUUCAAGGUCUAUAGGUUCAAGAUUAGGUAAUAAUGACCUACGACCAUGCAUGCAAAAUAAAAUAAAAAUAAAAAUAAAGAUGGGAACAAAACAAAUAAAAAUAAAUAAGAGGGAGAAAUUAUGAUACUAACCUUAUUGCGCUAUUACAACCUUUCUAUAAAAAUACACAAAAACAAAUACGUGAAAUAAAUUAACUAAAAAUUAAAUUAAUAAAAUAAACAAAAAUUACAAAGAAAAAAUAAAUUGAAAAUUAAAUUACAAAAUUUUAAAGAAGAGAAAAAGAAAAGAAAUACUAACCUUUAAAUGUAGAUUUACUUUUUUUUUUAAUAAUAAAAAAAAUACAAGAAAACAAAUAAAAGAAAUUAUUCACAAAAAUUAAUUCUAUGAAUUAAAAUUACUUACCUCCCCGGCAACGGCGCCAAAAACUUGUUGUGCAAAUUUUAAUGUACUCGCAAGCGCACGAAUCUAUUGUAGUAUAAAUCAAUGGUGACGAGUGUCGAUCCCACGAGGAGGUGGAUUUUAAUUGUGUAUAGAAUUAAUUUUGCAAAUGGUUGAUUGGAUUUGUGGUGGAAAUGAUUUGGAAUAUGCUAAAACUUAAAUUAAAAUGGCGAUAAUAAAUUCUGAAAUUGGAAUUGAAAUGGCGAGAAUAAAUUGAAGAGAAUUCUAUUGAAAUGACGUACUUGGGUAUCUGGAUCCGUAUCAACAUGCAUCAUGGGCUAAAUAUUCCUUAUUAAUACCAAUUAAAUCAUGAGGGGGGAAUCCACACCUCAUGAACCACGCUCUAAUCAAUAUGGUGCUAAGGGCUUAUCGUGCCAAAUAAUAAUAACCUUAUACUAGAGGGCCGGUGUAACCAAUGCGGUAUCUAGACAAGAUCAGUAUUAUUUGUCGACGAUAAGUCAAAUCAUCCACAAAAACUAGAGGGGAAAAGAAAAUAAAUUUACCAAAUAAAACCCAUGACACAUGUUGAGACUUCACCUUCAACCCAAGCUUGAAAGGAAAUUAGCUACUCAUAAUUGAACUAGGGGCAAAAUGGAAAUUUAUUAAAAUACAAAGAAAAUACAAGAUGGAGAAGGAAUUACAGAAAAUGGAUCCCAAAAAUGGAUUCAGAGAUAUCCAAUUAGGGGGGGAGGCCCCCUUUUUAUAGAUACAUGGAGUAAAUCAUGGCCAUCGGAUUAAAAACAGUUUGGACGCUCAGGAUUGCGUCAUGUCAUCAGUCACCAGUCCACGGUUUGACCACGUGGAUGAACAGUAACACGGUUUGACCACGUGGAUGAACAGUAACACGGUUUGACCCGGAUGAACAGUAACGCGGUUUGGUUGAAAAUAAUCCUAUGUGAUGCAUGCACCAUACGCGAGAUUUUUCGUCCACUGAUAUGCUGCCACGUCAUCAUCAACAGUACAUAAGAAUUUUAGUCCAACAGGAUCGUGACACCUCAUCAGUCAAUGCCACAUCAUCGGUCAAUGCCACGUCAUCGAUCCGUCUAUGUGAACAGUGUCGUGAACAGUAACGUAGACAGUACCGUACACGUGAAUAGUACCGUACAUGUGAAUAGUGUCAUUUUUCCUUUUAUGCUCUUCCUAAGGUUUUCGACCGUCCUGAGUUCAUAAGUGAUGUCCGUUUUUCCGUCUGAUCUCUCUUUUAUUUUGAAAUGACUAUAAUGCCCCUAAAAUACAUAAAAUACUUAAUUAAAAUAAAACACACGGAAUUAAAUCAAAAGAAGGUUAAAUUCAUAAAAGUAAAAGUGUUAGUAAAACUUGUAGUGUAAAAUGAUGAUUUUCUCUUUUAUAAAUAUACAUUUUCUAACACUCAACACAUAUCGCCAGCGAACCAUCGGUCAAACUCAUCAUAUAUACUAGAAUCCUCCAAUCCUCUAAGUAGAUUUAUAUUCACACUCGUACUCAUGUCAAUCGCAUGGUCCAUGAUUUAGGGUGGAGGUAAAGGCUGGACAUUCUUUCCUCGCUUGACUGGAGGAAUCAUGUAAGGACUAUUAAAAACAUACGACGGUCUGUACACUCGGCCGAACUUACUAAUGACCGGAGGUGCCUCAGUGAAGACCUACACGCUCUCCCCACUAACAUCCCCGUAGAAACUAUACAACGACGUGGGAGUAGAAAAAUUUUGAUUGCCCACAUCAUUAUACACUUCAUAGUCAUCUGGGGCCUGUCCAUUCGGUAAGAUGAACAUAUUAAACAACUAUCAAAUUAAAAGCUAAACGAAAUCCUUGUUUGGACAUUUAAACAGUGAAUCGAUAAAUCCCACCACGGUUUCUUUAAAAUCUUUAAAUUCUGACUUAAGUUCAUAAAUGUUACGAUCAAUCUUGUCCAUCCGUCGUCUCAUAUAAUCAUUAAACUACUUUGUCCUCAACUAUUACAAAGAAAAAAAAUUUAUAAUAACAUAUUGUUAUAAUGAUUUAUAUAUGAGGAAAAGAAAUUAUUUAUAACCUCGAAAUCAUGUGCGUCAUCAGACUUGUCUGUCUGCUUCUGAUGGUCAUCUACAGGCACCUCAUCCUGAAAUAUCUCGUGAUGCUGCUCUAGUGUUAGGUUCUGAUAACUCUAUGAAAUGAGAGUUAUCAUGGCACUUUUAGACUUAAAUCAAUAAUACUUAAAGAGUAAAUGAUGUGUUUUCAUUGUAUUUUUGUUAUAUUUUGUAUAAACAUUCAUUUUAAUUUAGUCUUAAUAAAUUUUACUUGAUUUAGAGUAAUUCGUCCCCAAAUUGUGUGCUUAAUUGUAGGUGUCCAUAAGCUUAUUUUUCACAGAAGGAAUGUUGUUGCAACAAGCUUGCAAAAAUGAAGAAGAACAUGGCUACAUAAGAAUUGAAACAAAAUCUGGAACAAUGUGGUGCUGUAGCCGUUGCUAGAGCAGUGAUGAGCAUAAUUUAUAUACAUAUUUUAGCCUUUAUUGUAUAUUUGCUAGUUAAUUUUAUUUGUUAUUUUUAAUUAAUUGAAUUGUUUUAUUGAAUAGGGAAUUAAUUGGAGAUUGGAAAUAAAAAGUGAAAAAGAAUAAUAAUUUAGGGAAAUAUUAGUUGAAGCUGUGAUAGAGUUAAGAGCCAAGAGCAAUUUGCAUUGAAAAAGAAUUUCAAUUCUCCAAUUGAGUUGCACGUCCAUAGCAUUGCAAAAGGGGAAAGCAAUUUAAAUGGGGCCCACACUUGACUUUCAAAAGUGGAAUUAAUGGCUGGCGUUAUUAUGGAAGCUUUGUUUCAUAAUUGGAAAAGGAUUUUAAUUAGUAGACAAAGAGGAUUCGGUGGCUAAGCAUUAUAAAAGAGAGUUUUGUUUCUUUAAUGAUUAUGGUUUUUAUUUCACAUGAUUAAUUGGAUGUUAAUAAAAUCUUUUCAUCAAUUCUGUCAUGCAUUAUUGAUUGUUAAGGUUAAUAUUCGAUUAAUUCUAUGCUUGGUUCUAUAAAGUUUAUACAUGAUUAUCUUUGAUUUUAUGUCUUUCAUUAAAUUGUUUACAUGGAGUGCUUAGGAAACUUUGACUCUUUGUUAUUCAAUAUGUUUACAUGAGAUUCUUAGAUGUCAUAUUAUUAAGCAGAAAAAGAACCUACAUUAGAUUUAAGUACUUGGGCUUAAUUGUUAUAUCCAUGAGAUGACAUAGAUUGAUUUCGAGUUGUCACUCUAAAAUUGGGGAUUAAUUAAUAAUUAGAUAAUUACUAGUUGAAUAGUGGUGGAUUCUGAAACCUUGGUAAUUCUUAUUUUAUUGAAUUCUCCUUUAUUUUAAUUGCUUCCUUAGUUUAAUUGGUUUAAUUUUCUUAGAAACUCAAUUUGGUCAACUAGGUUAGAAUUUAUAUUAAUUUUAGAUUUAAAUUAGACUUUUCAAUUUAUAACAAUCCUUGUGGGAUCGACCUCGUUACCACUAUUCUAUCUCUAGAUUUGUACGCUUGCGAGUACAUUAAAAUUUUCACAACAAGUUUUUGGCGCCGUUGCCGGGGAUUGUGCUAGAAAGUCAAGUUUAAUCUAGGUUAAUUUGAUUUUUCCACUAGUUAUAAUUUAGGUUGUCUUUUAUUUUAUUUAUUCAAUUUUUAUUUUUAUUUUAUUUUGAAUUCAUUCUUUAGUUGUUUAAUUUUUUUUUUUAAUUUCGUUUAUUCUCAUUAUUGUUGGUUUAUUUUAUUUUAUUUUAUUUUAUUUUAUUUCCUUGUCUGGUUAGUUUAUGAGUGUUUGGGAACGUGAUUCAACAAAUUGUUUGGUUAAAAGAGAGUCGAAAAUUGAUAGUAGUCAAGCUAGUUCUUUAGAAGUGAUGGAUGACCCAAAUAGAUUAUUGCCAAUACUUUCACCAGUGCAAGCAGAGAAAACCCUUAGAGAAUACUUUUCACCACUUGCAGCCAACCAACCAUCUUGUAUUGUGUUGCCACAAACUACAGCAACACACUUUGAACUUAAGCCCUCUGUCAUUCAACUUUUGCCAUCUUUCCAUGGGUUAGAGAGAGAGGAUCCAUAUUUGCACAUUAAGGAAUUUCUUGACAUAUGCUCUACAUUUCGUUUUCAAAAUUUUAAUGAUGAGUCAAUUAAGCUUCGUAUGUUCCCUUUCUCAUUAAAAGACAAAGCAAAAACUUGGUUGAAUUCACUUCCUGCUGGAUCUAUUAGUACAUGGGAUGAAUUGAGUAAUAAGUUUCUCACCAAGUUUUUCCCUAUGUCUAAAACAAAUGCCCUUAGGAGAGAGAUAAGUGAUUUUUAUCAAAGAGAGGGUGAGCAAUUUUACGAGUGUUGGGAAAGAUUCAAUGAUUUACUCCUCAAGUGUCCCCACCAUGGUUUUGAAAAAUGGAGACUUAUACAAUGCUUUUAUAACGGUUUAACCAUGUCAAAUCGUCAUAUGAUAGAGUCUAUGAAUGGUGGGAGAUUUUUGAACUUACAUGAAGGGGCUGCAUGGGAUUUCUUUAAUUCACUCUCUGAGAAUUCUCAACAGUGGGAUUUUUCAAACCAAAAGGAAAAUCAUCUCAAGUUUCUAGAAAGGGGUUAUAUGAAGUUAAGGAUGAUUUUGAUGUGAAAUCCACUCUAGCUACACUUUCUAGGAAAGUAGAUGCCUUAGCUCUGAAUCAAUCAAUGAAUCAUCAUCCUAGUGUAGUUAAUGAGGUUUGUGCUAUUUGUUCUAACUUGUCUCACACAGCACAUAAUUGUCCAUCAUUACCAGCCUAUCAAGAGGCUUAUUCUGAGCAGGUACAUGCCUUACAAUCAUAUGAGAAAACCUCUAAUAGUCCAUAUUCAUCCACAUAUAAUCCUAAUUGGAGGAAUCACCCUAAUUUUUCUUGGAAACAAAAUCAACCUUUGUCAAACCAAUGAGGACAACAAUUUAACAUGCCCAAUCAACAAUUUGCCCUCCUAACCAAGUAUAUCCUCCUGCCCAACAACCUAUGUCUCAAUUUGUUGCACCCCAACAAAGAAAGCCUUCUUUAGAGGAUACACUUCAAAGUUUCAUUCAGUCAACCCAACAAGCUUUUCAGUCAAACACUCAAGCUAUUCUAAAGCUUGAACAUCAAUUGGGUCAAUUAGCAACUACUGUAGCAGAGAGAGAAAAAUGAAAAUUUCCAAGUCAACCAAUUCCUAAUCCCAAAGGAGUGCAUGAAGUUGGAUCGAGUUCAAGCCAUCAGCAUGAAGAAGCAAAAUCUGUUAUGACCUUGAGAAGAGGAAAAUUAUUUGACAAUAAGGUGGAGGUUCCAACAAGGAAGACAUCUGAGCCUACUUCUUCAGAUCCAGUUCCAUCACAAGACUCAUCAACAAAUGAUCCAGAAGAGAGUGGCCCACCAGCUUACAUUCCUAAGGCUCAUUUUCCUCAAAGGUUAGCAAAGGUAAAGAAAGGGACUUCAACAAGUGAGAUUAUGGAAAUCUUCAAGCAGGUAAGUAUAAACAUCCCUUUACUCGAUGCUAUUAAGCAAGUUCCUUCCUAUGCCAAGUUUUUUAAAGAUCUAUGCACUAAAAAGAGAAAUUUGCAUGUCACCAAAAAGGCGUUUUUAACUGAACAAACUAGCAAUUUACUCCAAUGUAAAAUGCCACCAAAAUUUAAGGAUCCAGGUUCCCCUACUAUCUCAUGUGUUAUAGGGAACCAAUGUUUUGAUAAAGCAUUAUUGGAUUUGGGUGCUAGUGUUAAUCUCUUGCCUUAUUCUGUUUACAUGCAACUUGGACUAGGUGAGUUAAAAUCAAAUUCCAUUGUUUUGCAACUUGCUGAUAGGUCAAUAAAAAUACCUCGUGGUAUUAUAGAGGAUGUGUUGAUACAAAUUGAUAAAUUUUAUUAUCCUGUUGAUUUUAUUGUUAUUGAUACUCAGCAUGUACAGGAUCCUAAGAAACACACCUCAGUUAUUUUAGGUCGUCCUUUCUUAGCUACAGCUGAUGCUCAUAUUAGUUGCAGGACUGGAAACAUGCAAUUGUCUUUUGGUAACAUGACCAUGGAAUUAAACAUUUUUAAUGUUCUUAAGCAGGCACAAAAAGAUGAUGAAGUUGUUGAAGUAGAUAUGAUAGAAGCAUCAAUUGAUGACUCACUUAUUUCUAACCACUGUGACAAUCCAUUAAUACCAUGCACAACUGACUCUGAUUUCUCUGUUGAUGUUGAUAGUGGUAUUGAAGAAGUUAAUGUUUUACUUGAUUCGACUCUUAUCAUAGAUCUAAUUAAGUGGAAAGAAAAGAUUAAGCCACUUCCUCCUGAAGAGAAAAUUGAACCAUUCAAGUUGGAGUUACUUCCUAAAAAAGUGCAACAAAGGUCACAUUCUGACAUGAAAAAGGUGGUAAGAUCUAAAGUGCUUAAAUUAAUAGAUUUUUAUACUACUUCAGAUAACUCUCAGGAAAGCUUGGAACAGAAGAGAUCAAAGCAGUGCGAUAUUGAGGAGUUUCAUUACCAUCAUCCUUUUUUGGAUAAAAUGCUCAAAUGCUUAAUCAAUUAUGUUUUCUGGUAUUUUCUGUAUAAUUGCUUUGAUUUUCACCAAAUUCUUAUUGAUCCUGGUUGAUUUGUUGUUUACAUUAAUUUUUUAGUUAGUAGGAUUUUUUUUUAAUAUUUCUUCUAAUGUUUUAUUUGUCAUUUUUUAAAGCUUUUCCAGCCCAUCCAGGUGUGUUCUCUCCAACUUUCUUUUUAUUAUUUAUGUUUUUAUUAUUAUUUUUUCUUUCAUUUGUUUGCAUGCAUAUCUUUUGUUUGUGAAACAUUGAGGACAAUGUUCCGAAUAAGUUUGGGGGUGGGAAUAGUGUGUGGUUUGUUUGUUAUUAAAAAAAAAUUCAAAAAAAAAUGUUUUUUUUUCUUUUUUGUUUUUAUGUGAAAAGCCAAAGAUAAGAAUUUGAUUGACAAUGCAUAUGAUUUUUAGAAAGGGUUGAAUAUUGUCUUAGUUUAUACUUGAUUCUUGUGUUAGUUCCUCUUGAUUAAGAUUCUUUAAACCAUGAGCACUAAUAUCAGUUCUUUCAUAAUUUUGACUUGAAAUUUGAGAUUAACGCAGCCUGAGUUGAGAAUUUUAGAUAGAGUAAAUGACUGUUUGUCUUAAUUCUUAUCUCCACAAUACAAAUUAGUAUACACAGGCGCCAAAAUCAGAAAUAGCUACCUAUAACCCUUAAGAGUGAAGCUAUCCUUGACUAAUUUGGGCCUAUGUACCACCAGUAUGUAGAGGAUAAUCUACCAUGAGAAGAAAGUUACCUUAAGGGGUAGAGUGAAAGCUCCUGACUAUGGUUUAAAAAAAAAAGAGAAAAAUAAAAGAAAAAAUCAAAUCAAGUGCAUGUGCUGAAAAAAAAAUUCAAAAGAAAAUGCACAUGAAAGCCUGUGAGAGAAAAAAAAAAUUAGAGAUCAAAAUGAUAAGAUUAGUUUGACCUACUCUAUUCUUUGUUUGAGGUGAAGGCUGUUGAUGUUGAGGAUUUUGGGAAUGGAUUUGAUUGAAUUGAUUACACACACACACUACAAGAAUCGAAAGAGAGAUGAGAUUGACUAUUGAAUUAAAGUUAGAACUUUGCUAAUAUUUGAAAUUUUCUUUGAGCUAUAUAAUUUUUACAAUCUUUGAGGCUAUUUUUCAUGGUUUAUUUAAAGUUUUUCGUUCUUUUGAUUUAAUUUAAUUUAUUUAUUUAUUUUUUUUAAAUGAUGUUUGUGGGUAUCAUCACUGAAGCCCUCACGAGACUAUAACUCGUCCACUAGGGCCGCCUAGGGGUUUAAAGACUUGUUGCAUACGCUAAAUGCAAUCGCGAUUACCUGCGAAAGUGGUUUAGUUAGGAUUUACUUUUUGUUUCAUUGUUUUUAUUUUUUUAUUUUUAGUUUUAGUUUUUCUCGAGGACUAGCAAAAUCUAAGUUUGGGGGUAUUUGAUGAGCAUAAUUUUUAUAUAUAUUUUAGCCUUUAUUGUAUAUUUGCUAGUUAAUUUUAUUUGUUAUUUUUAAUUAAUUGAAUUGUUGUAGCAAUCCUGGAACAACGACAGAGAAAAUUUAGCGCGAGAUAUAUGCAUAAUCGAUAUCUGUAGUUUCCUAAUCUGACUUAUGCGUGCCCUAAGCUUCUGUUUACCUUAGUUUUCAUAUAUAAAAAGAGCAUACAUCAUAUGAAAAAGGACGGCGAAUUAACAUCGGAGAAAUCAAAGGGAAAAAGAGAACAAAAUCAUAAUUCACGGGAAAGCAAGUAUGCACCAUUGAAGAUAAACCAGCAGAACUAUUAGGGAUUCAAUUUUCAUCGUUCUUUACUUGUUCAUUUACUUACUCUUUGAUUGAAGCGAUGUAUUUCAUGGUUGAUAUUUUGUUGUUUGUUUUUCUUUUUCAAAGUAUGAACUAAAUUUGAUUAUAGUUGAGUGACAAACAAUCUAAAUGGGUUUUUAACUGUUCUUAUGAGUUGUUGUACGAUUGCUGUAGCAUUUUACUCUAAUAACUAUUAUUAUAAUCAUUAUUUUGUUGACCACCCAUUUAAUGGUUCAAAUUAAGAUAGAGCCGCAAAAUGGCCUGUCUUAGUGGAAAUUAUUAGAGUAAUACUUGAUCUUAAUUUAAGUUUCUUGAACUAAGAUUACUUGAGUCCGAAAGGGCUAUAUUUGAGUUAAGAUUUGUGAAGAACUAGACAUAGGAAUUCACCUUGUAGGGUAGAGAGAGUGUAUGCUCAUAAUGCCAUACCGUAGGUGGGUUAACAACUGGUCAUUGUUAGGGUACUUAAGGGUAUGAGAAAUCUGACAAGCGACAGCUGAUGAUGUAAAAUAAUUCUGCCCAGUGCUGUAGGAAUUACUGUAGCAACUGGUGUUAAUUUAGACAAAACAGUCAGUUCAUAAAGAGAGUUUGAUCACUCAGCUACCUCAUUCCCAUUGAAUUCUUUUUACGCAAUUCAUUUAAUUUGUUUUAUUACUGCAUUGAUUUGUUUUAUUUUUGUUUUUCUUUUAUUGUUUAUUUCGGUGGUAAUUCACUUUUAAUUAGAAUCUUUUUGGAAUAAAGGAAGUUUGCACUAUCGUGAUUACUGUAGCAUUUCUAGUAACAUCAAUCCAUGUGGAGAUGAUCUCGAAUAUUCAUCACUUUAUUACUUGUUGUGUCCACUUGCACAUUGACAUCAAUAACAAUUGAGUUAGAAAAUAACCAACAGGCUCGAUAUGUCAUCAUGCUCGUCUGAUUGCCUUGUAACGAGCGGCGACGCAUUGAUUGAAGGUUGGUGCUGUAGAAAGUAACAUCUAAAAUAAAUAAAUGAAAAGCGAAAAUUUUCAAUUAAAUAAAUAAUAGUACUUAAAGGAUAUUGACCCUAUGAACCCAGCCUGGAAUACGUGGCAUGUAGUCCUUCAGAGUGAGCCAAUAUUUUUGCGACUCUCCUUUGCAUCCGGCUCAAGGGUUUGUAAAACGUCCCUCUGCCAUGAAUUCAACCCAAAAUUUUAAUUAAGUGUACAAAAUUCAAAUUUAGUAAUGUCAAAAAUAGUAUUAUACGUCUACCAAUACAUAUUACUUAGAAGACGAGAUUCGUCAUUGAAAAAUGAAUAAACCUCAGUAAAGUUGAUUUUAGAAGAAGCCAUGGGCUUCCAUUGCACGAUGUGGGGAUUCUUCUUCUUCAUUUUCAUGACCCAUGAUGACGGCAGACCUCUGAUCGCUUCGUAAAUCCAAGCCUGCAACAACCAAAGUGAGAAAACUAUUAAAACUAUCAUUAAAUAUUUAAUGUUACUUUUUUAUUAAAAAAAACAACACACCUGAACCCCGGACGUAAAUCCGUAAACAUUGUACUUUUCAAUUUUAUGAUUUGGCUUUUCCAAACGAGUCGUCUUAAAUUUCUCGUCUUUCUCGUUCAGUGCUUUGUCAAGACUCUUACAUACCGUUUCCCAUGACAAACGACCCCAUGGACGAUUUCGGUGCUCUAUAUUAUCUACUUCGUUAAGCCAUGAGAAAUUAAUUUGACAGUGGUCUUUUCUUCCAUUUAGAUCUCUGUCUGCAAAAUAAAAGAGCACAAUCUUUAAUGCGUCAAUAUCGUCCAUAGCCUCGAAGUCCAACUUCUCAAAUAAUGCAUCGAAUUGCUUAAGAUUGAUGUUGCGAAACAAACCAUCAAAAUACAUAUUCAGUAGCCUAUGCACCGUUUUCUUAUUUCUUAGUGUGGUAUCUACACCAUAGGAAAGUCUAAUAACCAGGCACCAUUCUGCAAUUGACAAGUGUAUCAAAUGCUCACCAAUUUGAAACCAUAACUGAUCCUCCCCAUUGUAUUCUCCAUGGGCCCCUUGCCUAAGCAAAACAUUAUGUAAAAUUACACCACUGAACGGAAAGUUUCGACACUCCAAGAAAUGUCCAAAUAUGUAUUCCUUGAACAGACGCAACUGCUGCUUUGUUAAUUUUCGCUCGAUGGCUUUUACGACUGUGGAUAAGUUACACAUGCUCGAAAUUCACCCCGGGAAGUGAUCGGCAUAAGCUAACUUCAUCCUGCCUAGUUCGUUUUUCGAUUCUUCUGAUUUUACCAUGUAUCUGUAAUAUUUAUAACAUUAUUACAUUGCAUUUAUAACAAAAAAAGGAAAUUGACUUCACGUUAAAAAAAAAAACCACUGUAAUUUGGUGCGACAGGCGCGCGUGCAGAUCGCGCGCCAACAACCCUCCUCCUCCACGCCCACGACAACCUUUUCACCCAUGCACCACAGCAACAACUUCACCCAUGCACUCAACAUCACAAACUCCUUCAAUCUUCACUCACCAUCACCAACACAACACAAAAACCACAACAUAGAAGAAGAAUAGGAAAUAGAAAGUUAGGGUUUUUGACAUAACCUUUAAUUUGAACUCCUGACUGGAAUUUUGGUGAUGUUGACUGCCAAGAAUGACUCUGGGAAGCCGCCGGCGACGAGUAAACACGUUGGGAGUGAAUUCGGCGGUGAGAGAGAGAGAGAGAGAGAGAGAGAGAGAGGAAUGAGAGGAAGGAGAGGGAGAGUUAUGGGAGGGCAUUUUCGGCACUAGGGAUGAUUAUUAGCUAAUGUUGAUAGGAAAAAAAAAUUGAGGGGUUAGUUAUGAAAAUAACAAAAAAAUUUGGAUUAUUUGUGUAAAUUUCCCUACGAAUUUGACAAAAAAUGUUUUUACCAAAUUUUGAUAAAACCCUGGUUCAUUUAACUUAAAUUAUUAAAGCAACCGCGCGUGAAACAUGCAUUGUCCAAAAAUGUCAAAAGCAAGCAAUGAUUUUUGUGGCAAGUUACAAGUGUGAGCCAUAGCAAAUUAAGACAAAGCGAUAAAUGCAAAAGUCAUGAUGAAGACAUGCACGGUGCAAUUUGUCAAGCCAAAAACAGUGCUUGGAAAUAAGAACAAGUUGAAACGGGAACUUCCCUUAUGUACGUAGCAUGGAAUUGAUCUAUUUGAAUUAUCCAAAUUCAUCAAAGAUAAAAAUUGUCGAAUUGAGCAAAACAUUGAGAGAAAGGGAUAUGUUGAGGCAUUUUACCAGCUGUGGAUGGAAUGGGAUAUAAAGAGUAUUUACCGAAUUAAUAUAACACAAUUCAGUGUUUUGGAUGUGUGGUUUAAUUGCAUCACACAAAUUUGUUUUUCCCUACACUCGAUAAAGUCUCGACCUUUGAAUUUCAUCCUCCUUGUAGCUCUCCUAAAGCUGAUUCUCUCUCAUCACUGUAUUAUAAAAGUUUUGCUGUAAAAGGUUUAGAAUCUUUUUGUUCCCUUUCCCAUAGAGUCUACUCAUAGUAGUCUUUUUAACUUAGACCACGACAUUAUUUCAGGAAAGGAAAACCAAAAGUUUUAGGUCAUGAUAAAUAACAACAUAAACUAUCCGUGUAUUUUUCUUAAAUACAAUAAUUUUCCAACAAAUUUUUGCGAAAAUUUUCAAUAAAAUUAAAUAAUUUAAGUACUGUUAACGUACUAGAUAGGUGAACAAUCGAGGAGAAUAUAUAUAAUAGUAGAAUUUUCUUAUUUAUUCGAACUAUUUUUUUUUUUUGGACAAAAAACCUAACAAAAUUAUGGAGGUGUUCCGAAACGAGGGUUACAUUAACUCACAUUGCUAAAGAUAAUAAUUUAGAGAUAAACAGCACCGCCAUUAAUAAAUCAGUUAAAAAUUAAAAAAUACAUACUUUACUAUAAAUAAAAAAUUCAUAAUAAGAUAUUUUCCUGUACAUUUUUCUUUUUAACAUUUUCUUAUAAUACAUGUAUAUUUUAUAUUAUUAAGAUAAAUUAUUAAACAAAUAAUUCAUUUCUCUCUCUUUUCCUUUAAAUUUUUUGGAGCUAGAGGAGCUUUAAGAUAUUAUGAAAAUAAUAAGGAAUAAGCAGUAUGUAUGAUUUCAUUAAGGGCUAAAUUUACAAUCUCCAUCAUCCAAAUGCUUCAAGGAUAAAAAACAUUGAAAGAGGGGGAUGUGCUGAGGCAUUUUACAAGGUGUGGAUGGAAUGGGAUAUUAAAGCAUUUACCGAAUUAAUAAACACAAUCCAAGAUACAUAAACAUGGGUUGGCACUUAAAGUCUGAAAAUUAAUUUCUACUCAAGCGCACUCUUAAAAAAGUGGUUUAAUUUUAUUAUAACACAAUUGUUUUUUACUACAUUCAAUAAAGUACUCGGUAUUUCGAAUUAAAAUUCUCUCUUAAUUUGAGCUCUUUUGAGUUUUUAAAGAUUAUGUGUUAUGUCUCUUUUAAUUAUAGUGUAUAGAUAUGAUUUAAUUUCUUUAUUUAUUAACCAAAAAUAGCCACAUAUUAUUUUUAUUUAGGAAUCAGAGAAUCAUAAUUAGAUUAAGAUUUUCUGAAUCUCCACCUUGUUCUAAUAGCUCUUAUCACUACCAAUUCUCUCUCACCACUUUAUCGUAAAAGUUUUUUCUAUAAAAUGUUUAGAAUCUUUUUGUCCCUCCUUCUCAUAGAGUCUAUAGACAUCAUUUGGAAAGAGUAAGGUAUUUUAAUUUCUUUUAUCUUAUUUAUCUUUCGGGUUAAGAAGUCACAAUUAGUCAAUAAAAGUAUAAUUUUUAUUUUUCAUAGAAGUCUAUUUAACUUAGAUCAUGAUACUGUUUCAAGAAAGAAAAAAGAGGGUUGGAUCACGAUAAAUAACAAUAUAAGCUAUUCGUGCAAUUUUUCUUAAAUAUAAGAUUUUUCUAACAAAAUUUUGCGAAGAGAUUUAGAUAAAAGUUAUUGACUUGCUAGAUAUAUGAACAAUCGAAGAGAACAUAAAAAUAAAAUUUUAUUAUUAUGCAAACAAUGUUGUCUUUCGGGAAAAAAAAAAGCGAUAACAAAGUUGUGGAAGUAGAGCGAAACGAGAGUUCUGUUAACUCACUUUGCUAAAGAAAAUAGUUGCAGUAUGAGAAUUCAACAUGGAAGAUAUGAAAUUAUUUUUUUUUUAAGAGAACUAUUGCUCAUGAUAUUUACAUCAUACAAAUUAUUGAGAUCAGUUUACAUCAAUUUUGAUAUGACACCGCUUAGAUUUUUUAACAUUCUCAAAUAUUUGAGGGACGCCCAACUCCCAUUGUGGGAGAAAGACUGUCUUCACUCGAGCUCUGAAGUUCCAAGGAAAGAAAUUUAAAUUAAUCACCUGUAAUACAUCUGUAGAGACUCGAACCACUUCCCUCACAUUUGUGAGGGAGUGUCUCUAGCCCAAGUGGUUUGGAAGAUAUGAAAUUAGAAUCAAAGAGACUAGAGAUUAAUUUAUGGUUCAGAAAUAUAUUUAAUUAGUUAGGUAAACUUGUCCUUAACAAUCAAUUAAGUUGUGGGUAUUUUCAAAAUAAAAUAUUUUAUGAAAAUAAAAGUGUUCAGAUUACGCCACCAUUAGUAAAUUAGUCAGGACAGUUGGCAAGCUCUGUUAUUUUCAAGAACUUAAAUUAGUAGAAGUUUUUUCAACUGAUGUCAUCCUAUAUCAUGUUAUGGAUGUCAUGGGCUACGUACCAGUGCAUCUAUAAGAGUCCAAGACCUCAAAUUAUGAUUUAUACAAGGCAAACCAUACAGGCGCAUGGCUUUUCAUAUAUACUUAAUUUUAUGCCUACUUGUCCAACAGUUAAGAACCGCAGCCAAUGCUACAAAAUAUGUUCCCCACCAACCAGGAUCCUACCACAAAUAAUGCUCACAUGCAUUGCACAAUAGAUAAUAACAAUUGUUUCCCCCACUCGAAUUUGAUAUAGGGAGACAUAAUUUUAAUGUACGAGAAUUUAAUGAUAAGCAGAGUUUUUUUUAAGUAUUUAAUUAAUAGUUGUUAGAUAAAAAAUUAAAAAGUAAAUAAAAAUUAAAUCAUAACUAAUAAUUUAGUGGUUAACAAAAAACUCAACUCAGAAUUUUAAUCCAACUUUAAUAAUGAUGUCACUCACAAAAACGACAACGUGGAUUCUACUCCCACUCCUAGGGUGAGAAAGAAGUUAUACUCCAUGCUCCUACAUUCGCUUCCUGUAGCAAGGAAUUUUUGUUGACUGAAUAUUUUUAACUGCUCUUGGAGCACGCUAUUUUUCAUUCAUUCUUUCUUAUAUGUAUGUUUAAACUAAAGACCUUUUUACUAACACAUUCAUAGAAGAACACGCCCUCAGUAAUUGUCAAUUCUAAAGCUCAUCUAGUUAUGGAUUUAUCAAAGUUUGAAGGGGGCCCCUCUAAUUCUUGUGUUAACAUUAUGGUAAAGUUACGAUGCUUCUCCAGCUCGGGUUGGUCAAGAUUCAAGCAUGCUCCUAUUUCGCGGGUUGGGCCUGUUUCUAAUUUGGAAACGGAGUUUGAAGACUAAACAGUUAAAUUUCACAUUUUUGAUCCAAUCUAAGUAUUUUUUAAUAAAAAACUUAGAAGUAUUUGUAACCAUUUUCUAUACUAUAAGAGUAUAGCUGUCAUUUUCAUAUUUUUAUGAAGAAAGAAAUAUUUGAAUACACAUUAAUGGAAAAUAAAUUUUUGAUUAGGAAUAGUGCUGUUAAUUAUCUAGUUUUCUAACAUUUUCCAAAUUAAACUAGAAAAAUAUUUUAAAUAUUUCUUCACUUGUUAGAAUAGCCUAAAAUCAUGUUCAGGUUUAAGUCGUUUCGGCUUUCCUUGAGCUCACUUAUGCUUUUCACACCAUGAAUCACAAAUGAAAGUCCAAAAACAACUCCAUCAGGCCCAUUACUUCAGUACAUUUCGAUUAGCUCAUGAGGGUAUUGACUGGAUAGUUUAGAAACAUUACAUCAAUACAUUUUAACCAUUACUUAUUCAAAAAAGAAAAUUGUUGUAAAAAGUUAACCGUUACAUCAAGCGUAGAUUAUUUAAUUUGCACAAAGACGCCAGACAAUCACCGUGCAGGUGGUGGGUCCUAGAUUGACGUGUACCUCUUGAGGUGGAAGUUUAUAUUUGAUCAAUAUCUUCAAAUAUUUGCUUUAGCUGUAAGACUAAUUUCGAUGUCCUUUUAACGUGCUUCCCAUAGUCCUGAAAGUAUGUGCCAUUUUCAUGUUGUUUAUACCUUCAAUGUCCUUCACCACCACACUGUGAUCUCUACUCCAAUGCUUACGGUUGUUCACCAAAUAGUUGCCAUAAAAUAAAGUGUACAAAAAGUAAGCAAAGCAAUAAUGAUAUCAAAAGGGAUUUCAUUCAUUCUUUCUAGAAAAAUUUGGUAGCCUAUUCCUAGAAAGUCUAACAAAUUGUUGGAGUCUAACAAAUUGUUAGAGGGUUGAGCCAAAAAUUUCUAAAUAUCCAACCAACAGAGUAAUUUUUUUUAGGUAAAGUGACUUAUUUUCUUAUAAAUUUAAUUAUCUCUUUUUUAUUAAUCAAUGUGAUAUACAACUCAAUAAUCUCUCCUCUCAGACAAAACUACCACCGGACGAAAGAAACUCAAUUCUUUCAUCCGACACACUUGAAUUAUUCCACCAUCACAUUUUAGCUACUAGGGUUUAGUUACAAUACCAAUUAUUGAGGGAUUAGGCUUAAAAUUUUUAUUUAUUCAACUAAAAGAUUAAUCUUUUUAGAUGGAGUGACUUACUUCUUUAUUAGUAUUAUUAAAAUUAUUAUUUUUAAUUGCCCAAUCACCAUUCUCUUCAACAAGAUUUGUCCCGAGAUCUAAAAGGAGUAACUAUGAUACAGACAGCUACGAUCAUCAUGAUGACGUUAGAGAAUUUGUCCAAUCAAACAACUUCACUAUUUCAUCAAUUACUAUAAUUUUUAUUUCUUCAUACUUUACAAUAAAAGAUUCUAAAGUAUUUUUUUUAUAAUACAUUCAAGUAUUACAUGUGGGCAUUUAAAUAUUUAUCAUAAAAAAAACAAUUAUAUAAUUAAUUAUAUAUAUAUUAAAUAAAUAUAGUACAACACCAAUACUUUAAAAUCUUUAUAACUCAGAAACUCCAGCACAUUUCUUGGCUAAUGGACAGCACAGGAGCAUUUAAUUAUACAUGAAGCAAACCAUUCAUAACCAUAUAUUUCAACAACCUAAACUCAUCAGUCACCACACAUUUCAACUACCCAAAUUUUACAUACUAAACUUACCGCCACAAAUUUAAACUAUAACAUAUUUCACACAAACUUACCAAACUUAGGAACUUCUGAAAAUUGGGCUUAAUUGGUCUCUGUGUACAUCGGGUUUAAUAUCCAACACAUGAUGGCUACUGGUUAGCGCCCCGCGUAGCUAACCCGAACUUCUUGAGGUAGAAGAUUGUAUCUGAUACCAAGUUCUUCAAAUAUUUUCUUUAGCUCUAAGACUAAUUUGGAUCUCCGUUUAAGUUUCUUCAUGUAAUCCUGAAAGUUCAUGGUAUGAGUAACAUAGAGAGUCAUUUUCAUCUUAUUCACAUCCUCAAUAUCCUUCACCACCACACUGUGAUCUCCACUCCAAUGCUUGUGCUUCCUCUCCAAGUAGCUGCAGUAAAAUAACGUUGACAAAAAUAUGCACACAAAAAAAGUGACAAAAGAUAAGCGUCAACAGUACGUUAUAACAAAAAACCGAAAAUUGGUAUCAAAGACAAGUCUCAACAAUCCUAACCCUUUAACAUACAGUUGUUAUCUCAAAAGAACUGACUUACUCUUUUAUUCUAGAUUUUAGUUUGUCAAUGAUCUCAACUGAUGUGAAAACAUCAAUUGCAAACUCCACAGUAUCACCCAUCUCUCGCGGGCUCCUGUAAAAGUUGCUGAUGGGUUUGG
rnacentral:lncRNA from 1 species